rnacentral:rRNA from 1 species
AACGAACGCUGGCGGCAGGCCUAACACAUGCAAGUCGAGCGGACCCUUCGGGGUUAGCGGCGGACGGGUGAGUAACGCGGGGGAAUAUGCCCUUCUCUACGGAAUAGUCCUGGGAAACUGGGGGUAAUACCGUAUACGCCCUUUGGGGGAAAGAUUUAUCGGGGAAGGAUUAGCCCGCGUUGGAUUAGGUAGUUGGUGGGGUAAUGGCCUACCAAGCCGACGAUCCAUAGCUGGUUUGAGAGGAUGAUCAGCCACUCUGGGACUGAGACACGGCCCAGACUCCUACGGGAGGCAGCAGUGGGGAAUCUUAGACAAUGGGGGCAACCCUGAUCUAGCCAUGCCGCGUGAGUGAUGAAGGCCUUAGGGUUGUAAAGCUCUUUCAGCUGGGAAGAUAAUGACGGUACCAGCAGAAGAAGCCCCGGCUAACUCCGUG